UUAUGAACCAGAAUUAUUGUAAAUUAAUGCACAGGUUAUGCUGUUAGCAACCAGAGCACACGUUGCUAAAACAAUGCAGUUUGAGAUGGUUGCCAUAACAACCAAGGAAACAACACAAAAUAGCUAAUAAAAAAAAAGCUAAAC